CGCAGCUGCAGCGUUGGGUCUCUUUCUGUGUGCUAAGGGAAACGGUAAGACGUGUUGUAACGGGCACGCAAGAACAGAUCUGGCACCGUUUUCAGUCCAUCGGUAGAGUGUUGCCGCAGCAGAACGGUCGUAGAGGUAAAACCUUCCAACUUGAAUGAUGGCAGGAUUCUGGAAGACGGUUGGGCAGCUGUUCCUGGAAGAGAUGAUGAACCAAAUGGCAGAAAGUGUGUUCGAGAGCAUGGACCCCGAACAGGCCAGAGUUUGCCGACUGCUCUGGAGAUUGAGAGCUGCAAUUGCCAAGAUAAGUCUUACCGGGAGGCAAAUCGAGUGCUUCAUGCAGCAAUUGGCCCUUUUCUUAAAUAGUGACAAGGCCAACUUGGGCCAAGGUCUGCAGAUGAUUGUUGAAUCUGUGAUGGUGGCAAGGAACCUAUUUGAAGGGUAUGGAGAGGUUCUGGACCUGAUUGAUGAAAUUAAGAGAGAGUGGGAUCAUUACCAAGCUAGAAAUGGACUUCAGUGUGUUGAAAUCUGAAGGGUCUGUACUCAUUUAAUAAGAAACUUGAUUCAUUCCAUAGUCUACCAAUUCAUUUUUGUAUCCAUGAAUCCUGUUUGUAAAUUAAAAAAUCAGAAUCAGUCUUUCUUUA